AUGAUUUAUAACAAGGAGGGUCUAGCAAGAGCAAGAUCGACACCAUCAAUGAAAUUUCGUCAAGCCUGUGAUGCACAGCAACCAACAAUGGUGGAGGAAAGUGAGUUGUACCUGAAUAGUGCCCGACCGAAGCGACUCAGUCUGAGAUUUCGUAGCCACAACAUGGCAAGCAUGCACGGCCUCACAAUGAGCGAGAGAGGGCACCAAAGCCAUUCUGGCUCAAAUAGGAUGGAGGUCUUAGUGCUAGGAGAAGCAUAUGCCCCCUGGCCGUUGCGUAGACAGCUCUCUACCAUGAUCCCGAGAUAA
rnacentral:rRNA from 1 species